rnacentral:rRNA from 1 species
UACGUAGGGUGCGAGCGUUAAUCGGAAUUACUGGGCGUAAAGCGUGCGCGGGCGGUUUUGUAAGACAGCUGUGAAAUCCCCGGGCUCAACCUGGGAACUGCGGUUGUGACUGCAAGACUUGAGUGCGGCAGAGGGGGGUGGAAUUCCACGUGUAGCAGUGAAAUGCGUAGAGAUGUGGAGGAACACCGAUGGCGAAGGCAGCCCCCUGGGUCGACACUGACGCUCAUGCACGAAAGCGUGGGGAGCAAACAGG